CAGACUGUUAGCUUCAGGGAACAGAUGGAGAGAAUUUGGGCACCACAGACUCUGAAAGCCAAAGGCUAUGCAAUAUGGGGAGUGGAUUUCUUCUGCCUUCUCCACCCUCCUGCUCCUCAUUGUACUCCCGAGUAAGAGUCAGGCAGAAGUUGAUCCUGAAUAUACAUGUGAUCAGCUUUCAGAUCCGGACCUUCAACUGUGAAACUUGAUGGAGUGAGCCUCACAGGGGAACACAGAUGCUCUGGAUCAAUGGACCUGGAACCAGCAUUUCUGGAUCUCCCUAUGGGGAUCUGAAGAAUCACAUUAAUGACGCGUCUAUUUUAUCAUACCAGACGAGACUGAUGCUCCAGAGGCUAUCUCCUUCAGGCACCUGAAACAUGCAGCAAGGCGGUUGUGUGAAAAACAGUAAACAAUCCCAAGCAAGCUCUGAAAAUGGUUUAGUAUAACCCUUUGCUUGCUGAAGACUUUUUAACAGGAAAAAAAAUAGCUGCUAGCCAAUGCUCCCAUCACUGAACUACCCUGUACGUUUGAAAGCUAGGCCACUUUUUCACAACGUGCCAUCAAAAAACUGAGCUUUUGAAACUUGUAGUCACUGCAGUGAGUUUGGGAGAUCUCAGGCAAAUGCGGCUCUCUAACCUGAAUUAAGACCCACAUGAAAUCCUGGGGCCAGAUCCCCUAUUUAGCUCCACUGAAGUAGUUGAUUUAUAUUUGAGAGAAACAUAUACGUGGCUGUUAGCAUUCAAGCUAAGCCUCCUCUCAUCCUUAUAGAAGGCUUUUAUCAGUAUACGCAGGAUUACGUGGGAAGCUUACACACACUCAUACACAAACAUACACCCACGCAGAGCCUGUACUAUGAACUAUAGAGCAUAAAGCAAGCACAUUAGCUUCCAUCCAUCAGAACUGCUAAAAGAAAAAAAGAGCUUUAACCUUCAACUCUUAAAACAGGACAGCAGCUUUUGAGGGGAGGGGAAGGGGUAGUUCACUUUAAGAAAGCUAGUUGUAUGUUUCUCAUUUCAUAUAAGAUCGUGCUAUGUUUUGAAGGAGUGGGGAAAGCAACAUCCAAUGUCUCUUUUGAAAGAGUCAUUCCAUGCAUAUCAGAGUAUAUCUGUUAAGUCAGUGCAGGAUAGGCCCACAGGGAAAGCUGUAUUCUGCUGCUGCUAGCUAUGGGUUUUUAGUGGGCAUCCUGAGACGGAAGCCUUUAGACCAGAAUCCUGCCAUGUUUUGAAAGGAGAAAAUAAAAAAAAAUCUUAACCAUUCCAUUUAAAAAAAAUCUAAAAUAGCAGCUAAAGUUAUGUGACAGCUGCAUCUGUGCAUGGAGCAGGGUUUGGCCCUUAGUAUAUGGUUUGUGUUACAU